rnacentral:rRNA from 1 species
GGACGGGGCCCGCACAAGCGGUGGAGCAUGUGGUUAAUUCGAAGCAACGCGAAGAACCUUACCAGGUCUUGACAUCCCGAUGCUAUUUCUAGAGAUAGAAAGUUACUUCGGUACAUCGGUGACAGGUGGUGCAUGGUUGUCGUCAGCUCGUGUCGUGAGAUGUUGGGUUAAGUCCCGCAACGAGCGCAACCCCUAUUGUUAGUUGCCAUCAUUCAGUUGGGCACUCUAGCGAGACUGCCGGUAAUAAACCGGAGGAAGUGGGGAUGACGUCAAAUCAUCAUGCCCCUUAUGACCUGGGCUACACACGCGCUACAAUGGUUGGUACAACGAGUUGCGAGUCGGUGACGGCGAGCUAAUCUCUUAAAGCCAAUCUCAGUUCGGAUUGUAGGCUGCAACUCGCCUACAUGAAGUCGGAAUCGCUAGUAAUCGCGGAUCAGCACGCCGCGGUGAAUACGUUCCCGGGCCUU